AUUGAACGCUGGCGGCAUGCUCUACACAUGCAAGUCGAACGGCAGCGGGGAGGAGCUUGCUUCUCUGCCGGCGAGUGGCGAACGGGUGAGUAAUACAUCGGAACGUGUCGAGAAGAGGGGGAUAACCACCCGAAAGGGUGGCUAAUACCGCAUAAAUUCUGAGGAAGAAAGCUGGGGACCUGGGAAUAGGCCUAGCGCUUUUUGAGCGGCCGAUGUCGGAUUAGCUAGUUGGUGAGGUAAAGGCUCACCAAGGCGAAGAUCGGUAGCGGGUCUGAGAGGAUGAUCCGCCACACUGGGACUGAGACACGGCCCAGACUCCUACGGGAGGCAGCAGUGGGGAAUUUUGGACAAUGGGGGCAACCCUGAUCCAGCCAUGCCGCGUGUAUGAAGAAGGCCUUAGGGUUGUAAAGUACUUUUGUUAGGGAAGAAAAGUCAGCUGUGAAUAAUGGCUGAUACUGACGGUACCUAAAGAAUAAGCACCGGCUAACUACGUG
rnacentral:rRNA from 1 species